AGAGUUUGAUCAUGGCUCAGGAUGAACGCUGGCGGCGUGCUUAACACAUGCAAGUCGAACGGAGUUUUUAAACGGAAGUUUUCGGAUGGAAGUUUAGAAACUUAGUGGCGGACGGGUGGAGUAACGCGUGGGUAACCUGCCUCAUACAGGGGGAUAACAGUUAGAAAUGACUGCUAACACCGCAUAAUAUAGCGAAACCGCAUGAUUUUGCUAUCAAAUAUUUAUAGGUAUGAGAUGGGCCCGCGUCUGAUUAGCUAGUUGGUGGGGUAAAAGCCUACCAAGGCGACGAUCAGUAGCCGGCUUGAGAGAGUGACCGGCCACAUUGGGACUGAGACACGGCCCAAACUCCUACGGGAGGCAGCAGUGGGGAAUAUUGGACAAUGGGGGAAACCCUGAUCCAGUCCGACGCCGCGUGAGUGAAGAAGUAUUUCGGUAUGUAAAGCUCUAUCAGCAGGGAAGAUAACGACAGUACCUGACUAAGAAGCCCCGGCUAACUACGUGCCAGCCGCUGC
rnacentral:rRNA from 1 species